CGUCGUGUGUUUGACUCUGACCUUGACCCUGACCUUCCUGCUAUACGGGGCCGUUGCCAUGGAGACGCAGCAGGGGUCAGCAGGCGUGUCACGGGAGGAGGUUCCUGCCACGGUGCUCAAGGAGCAGAACUUGGGUCUGACAUUGGGAAUCUACAUUACGCUGCUGGUCAUCGCGAUCGGCCUGGGCGUGUACGUCUAUUUACCUGUCAACAACAACAACAACAACCAGCACGACACAGGGCGCCACAUGUCCAGCAGAUCCCUCUAGCAGACUUUGCGGGUACUGCAGCUGGACUUAAACAAUCAUACUGGCUCAUAUGCCACAAGGAUCUCAUACCAGAGUUUGUGUUGAGCAGAGUUGGACAAAAACUGUUCAGUGAUGAAAAUAAUUCUCCUUCUGUCUUAAAAACUUAGUUGAAUGCCUUACACUUUUAGAUAAGCUAUUUUGGAUUGAAAUACCUGCAAUCAAAUGUCUGGGUAGACAUACAGUACCAAUCUAUGAUUCUUAAGUGUUGUUAUAUUAUUUUAAUUAGAGAGAUAAGGUACUUAAUACCAGAGAUGACAAUGUGCAAAUUAAUUCAGAUCUGCAGAUAUCUUCUGCCUGCUGAAUGCUUAAUACAAUACAGAAUAUAUUACAUUUUGUACACAAAAGAUUUAAGUUUUUGCUGAUACAUACAUGUAUAUGCUCAUUCCAGUGAUUGUUGUACAUCGUACUACUGUUAUAAAGUGUGUAUCUCUAAAUGCAAAAAGUGUCUAUAUAUAACAGUUUUGGCAACUGUGGCUACUGUUUCAAAGUAAUCAGUAAAAACACACACAUGAAGUUGAUUCUAUUGACUUUAUUAAAGAAGUUCUGUAAGCAGAGGUGCGAGAAAAUAUAUCAGUCCACAAACUUCCUAGCAGAAACAGUUUUGUUCACAGAAGUUUGUGUGAAGUCUUAUACAAUGUAGUACGAGUGCAAAUCUUACACAAGCGAAGGCAACGGAUCAGACUAAAACUGGAUAAUUACAAAACACACAUCAGGCUGCACUAUAUUAUGAACGACUGUGUUUUAAGUGGUGAUUCCACCAAGGAAUAGACUGUUGCGCAUUCAAAAACUUCACAGAUCUUUCAACUAUCUUUCAGUGAGCACUCAAAAGUUGGGGAUGUCUCCUUAGCAUGAUCUACAAGUUGGGCAUUUUUCUCAAAUGACACACCAGUAUAGAUGGUAAUUUGCAAGUUUCUUGUCAAUUGCCAUCUAUAUAGAGGCAGCCCGCAAGAAAUUGCAUACUGAGAACUGAUAUGCCAUCAGAAAAAGACAUUAUAAGCCUACAAAAGGCCUGACUCGUAUAGUAUGCUAAGGAGGCUAGCCCGAAAGUAUCUGUCAAUGAUGUUCAGUGGCUAGGCCAUUGCCUGAUGGCCUAUGUCCAAUGAAACGUUCAUACAGUCUAUGCAGUAGGGAGGGGCAAGCAACAAGUAUACUCAUAGGCCCAAAGCAAAAACAUAUGGCAAUCUAGUCACAAUUCAUUUACAUGGAACAAGCCAUUUUUCACAGAAGAAUUGCAUGUAUUUUGUGGUUUGUAGUUAACCUUAUAAAAGUUGCUGUGCUUUGUGUUUGUUGUAGCUUGUCUACAAUGGGAAUAAUUUUAGCCUGAAGUUGUCUAGAAUUGAAUACGCUGAGAUAGAAAAGCCAAGCAUUUUGCACGACACAAAAGCCCUGGAACAAAUGACCCUAUGAAGACAGCAUUUUGCGGGUAAAAUCCACUUAAAAGCAUUUUUUUGCAAACUGGCUGUUGUAAACAUCAUGUUAACAACUGUUAGGAAUGGAGUUUGAGAUCACAGAUGGCACAACUGUCAUGUGUAUGGCUAAAACAUCGAUUUUAGGUUAUCAGCACGGCAGUAUGGUCUACAGUAGGUCUUCAGUCGACCGGCACACAAAUUUACACACACACAGCACCGGCCACCAGUUUCUGUCUGUCAAUUCUCAAUCCUGAUCCACUCUUUUUUUAGACUGGUAGGAGGCCAUGCCAAUAUUAUCUGAGGAAGGUGACAGACGGUCACCCAAAUAUCGGCUAGGUUGUGUGCAAGAAAUUUUUUUCCUAGACACCCCCUGAUGUACAUAAGGCACUUCCACUGUAGUGCAGACCACAUAACAGCUACAGCGGCUUUCUUACGCCCCCUAGCAGCUUGCAUUCACACUGCAGCUGUUUGUUGUCAAGACUACUUUUGCCAUAUAAAAUUGUAGUUCAGCCACAAAGUUGGCAGCGGGGAAAAAAACACAAUCAGCAACAAUGCGAGUAAGUCGUUGUAGUAAUACAAUUGACAAAACGUUACAAAUAACAUGUCUACAUCAAAUCUACUAGUCUCAAUUAAUUAAGUACACAAGUCUAAAUACACAAAUCAUGUAUACGUAACAAGGAAAAAUCAAGUACAAAACGUCUCACACGGUACAAAGCAUAAUGUUGGUAUGAGACCUACACACACACUUGUAGAUGCAGCAAGCUGAACUGCCUUCUUUAAAGUAGGUAUUCCAACCAAAAUUUCUGACAGCAUUUCACUCAUAAAUUUUACUUUUUCAAUCAUACACUUUAAAAGAGAAGAUGAUAUUCUUACUGAGAGCUUAAUUUUUUGCUGAGAUAUGGACAUUGAAAUUUCCAAAAUCUGCUUUUUUCAUUGAAUUUAUACUUGUAGGUGUAAGUUUGUGCAGCAUUGGAAUACCUACCAAAUAUAUUCUGGCUGCAAAGAAUUACGUGUACAUUUACAAGAGGUGCAAGCAGUAUUAUUCAUCACGUAUCCUUCUCACAAAAAAUGCAAACAAUUCUAGUAAAACAUUCAUCUUAAACGGGGAAA